UCGGAUGUGGUGCAUGGUGCACUGGCUUGAAAUCUGGCAAUCUACGCAAAGAAAUAUCAGGGCAGGUCGGGGUUCGAUUCCCCGCAUCCGAA